AUCGAACGCUGGCGGCAGGCCUAACACAUGCAAGUCGAACGAGUGGCGGACGGGUGAGUAAUUUCUGGGAAACUGCCUGAUGGAGGGGGAUAACUACUGUAAACGGUAGCUAAUACCGCAUACCAUCAGAUGUGCCCAGAUGGGAUUAGCUUGUUGGUGGGUUAACGGGUCACGAAGGCGACGAUCCCUAGCUGGUCUGAGAGGAUGACCAGCCACACUGGAAGUGAGAAACGGUCGAGACUCCUACGGGAGGAAGCAGUGGGGAAUAUUGCACGAUGGGCGCAAGCCUGAUGCAGCAAAGCCGCGUGUAUGAAGAAGGCCUUCGGGUUGUAAAGUACUGUCAGCGGGGAGGCGGUACCCGAAGAAGAAGCACCGGCUAAAUCCGUGCCAGCAGCCGCGGUAAUUC
rnacentral:rRNA from 1 species